rnacentral:lncRNA from 1 species
GACUUGCCAGUGGUCUGCUGCUCCUGAAGAUGAAGACGAAGUUGAGGGCGGUCGGUGCUAUUCCUCUUUUCUGUUCCUUCUCUAUUCUUUUGCUUCUGUCCGCACCGUCUUUUCUACUUUUUCUUUGUGUUCCUCUGUUUUCUCAGUUCUUGGGAUGAAGGAAUUAAGAAGAUGACGAUGCCGGUUCUCUCGGGUGGUUCUUCUUUUUCUGGUCACUGUUCGUCCUCCAUUUUUCUGUGGUUCUUGGCCUGUUCCUCGAUUUUUUCAGUUCUUCCUCUCUCUCUGUUUUCCCCGUUUUUUAGUUUUUCCACCUUGGGUCUGUGAUUCCUUUUCAGUCCAAUUCCCCUGGUUUUUUCGUGUCCUCCGAUUGCUUUCGUUUUCCAGCAGCUUUUGAAAUGAUGAAGGAACUAAGAAGAUGAUGAAGACGCUGGCUGGAUUUAUUUUGACUGAUUUCUGGGUCUUUCCUUUGUCUGCAGGGACGAAGACAAUUUCAAGGAUAAUUCUCGUCUCUGUGUGUGCUGCUCUCUUGUUCUCUCCUUCUCUCUGUGUAUUAUUUUUUUGUUGCUCUGGAUUUAUGCUCUGCUUUUUUCUCUGUUAUUUGCUCUCUUUUAUUUGCUCCUUACGCCCUGUUUCUCCCCAAGGUUCUGCCCUUUUUUUUUCUCCCUUUCGCGAGGUCGCCUUUGCCCAGCUUUUAUAAAGCCAGCGGCGGCCUCGGUGGUGGUAACGGCCGGCCUCCUAAAUGCUCUGUAACCGACGUCUUCAAUGAAGAAACGUACGCGUUGGCUGCCAACGGACGAAACGUCUCUGCCUUAUGGCAGAGCCGUUGCAGAGGAAGAAGACGGUGAACAGUCGCUGCAAAACGACUCCGUUUUCUAGUUCUAAAGGCUGCUUUCAAUUUGGUCCUUGUAAUUCUUAUAAUUUUGCAAUCAAGCCCCUGGUUAAAAUGUAAUUGGAUCCUUGCAUUUCCGGGCCAUUUUCAAGCUGGUCCUUGGAUUUUAAUUUUUGCAUUUUGGACCUCAAUUAAACCCCAAACUUUGAUAUUUCUUCAAUUAAAUCCCUG